rnacentral:rRNA from 1 species
AAGACCUUGCGCUUUUGGAGCGGCCGAUGCCUGAUUAGCUAGUUGGUGGGGUAAUGGCCUACCAAAGCUUCGAUCAGUAGCUGGUCUGAGAGGACGGCCAGCCACACUGGGACUGAGACACGGCCCAGACUCCUACGGGAGGCAGCAGUGGGGAAUUUUGGACAAUGGGCGCAAGCCUGAUCCAGCCAUGCCGCGUGAGUGAAGAAGGCCUUCGGGUUGUAAAGCUCUUUCAGCCGGGAAGAAAAGGUUGCGAUUAAUAAUCGCAAUUUAUGACGGUACCGGAAGAAGAAGCACCGGCUAACUACGUGCCAGCAGCCGCGGUAAUACGUAGGGUGCGAGCGUUAAUCGGAAUUACUGGGCGUAAAGGGUGCGCAGGCGGUUUUGUAAGUCAGAUGUGAAGUCCCCGGGCUUAACCUGGGAACU